AGAGCGAACGCUGGCGGCAGGCUUAACACAUGCAAGUCGAGCGGGCGUAGCAAUACGUCAGCGGCAGACGGGUGAGUAACGCGUGGGAACGUACCUUUUGGUUCGGAACAACCCAGGGAAACUUGGGCUAAUACCGGAUAAGCCCUUACGGGGAAAGAUUUAUCGCCGAAAGAUCGGCCCGCGUCUGAUUAGCUAGUUGGUGAGGUAAUGGUUCACCAAGGCGACGAUCAGUAGCUGGUCUGAGAGGAUGAUCAGCCACAUUGGGACUGAGACACGGCCCAAACUCCUACGGGAGGCAGCAGUGGGGAAUAUUGGACAAUGGGCGCAAGCCUGAUCCAGCCAUGCCGCGUGAGUGAUGAAGGCCCUAGGGUUGUAAAGCUCUUUUGUGCGGGAAGAUAAUGACGGUACGCAAGAAUAAGCCCGGCUAACUUCGUGCCAGCAGCCGC
rnacentral:rRNA from 1 species